rnacentral:tRNA from 1 species
GGUGGCUCAGUGGUAGAGUACUUGCCUUGCAUGCAUGAGACCCUGGGUUCGAUUCCUCAGAACCA